UUCUCUUUGACACAGCCGCCAUUAUUUCCAUUUUCUCUCUCUUUUCUUUCAUUCCUUCAAACCCAUCAGUCAUGAAAAACCAUGCAUGAAUUAGUGCAAGGUCUCAAGACCUUUACCAAAUCGUCUGCCAUGCUUCUCCAUGCCCGAGUCCUGCUAAUUUUCCUUUUUUUCUCUUCAAAUUUGAGAGAUUAGAUGCGACCUGUGAGGUUGAAAUCCAAUCUUUUGUUCUUUCAAAUCAAAUUUAGAAAUUUGUCUCAUUUAUCACUAGGUGAUGAAGCUCGUGAGUCCAGUUUCCAUUCUUAUCGCUUAAAUUAAAAACCCCCAAUUUGAAAUCGUAAAUGAUGAAACUUCAUUUCAUCUGGUUUCUUCGCUCGUUCUUCCAAGUCGGAGCAUGCAUGUGCACAUUUUAGAGUUUCAUCAUGAAUAUUGUAACGACCACGAUGGUCGUUUUAUGAGUUACAGUUUAGUUCUUACCAUUUCUUUUUCUUUAUGUGUUAUUCAGCUGUGUUUCAUCAUAUCAUGUUGGUUGUUCUGUGUUCGGAGUGGUCAUGGAGUGAAAUGAGACACUUAGUCUCUUAUUUAGAAGCUUAAGUUGGAAAAAUCAACUGGAUGUUCAUUUAUGAGUAGAAGGUCUCGGAUAUGAAUUUUGAUUGUUCGGAUAGAUUUAUUAGCUGAUUUUAGAUUUAGGAGCAUAUUCAGAAUGUAUUUUAGAGGUCCGUGAUAGAUUUAGUCUUGAAUUGGCAAAAUUAGAAAUUUGGCGUUUUCUAGUCGAUAGAGGAAAUCCUGAUAUGGGGGUUGGACUAGAAUUAUAGCAAUUGGAGUAGGUCCAUUGUGUCAUUUGUGACGCGUGAGCAAAAUUUCAGGUCGUUCGAAUUAGGUUUGAUAGGUUGUUGUAUAGUUUAUGGAGUUCGAAAGUUUAGAAAUCCUUAGGCUUGAAUCCAAGGGUGAUUUGACAUUUUGAUAUUGUUUCGAGUGUUUCAAAGGUUGGAAUAAGUUUGAAUAGUGUUAUGUGACUUGUUCGUAUUUUUAGUUGAGGUUCCGGGGGCCUCGAAAUAAUUUCGAACAGUUUUUGGAAAGUUUGAACUUGAGAAAUUGCAGCUGGUCCUGCUGCUUAUGUAAUAUCCGUAUUUGGGGAUUGGGGACCACAUGUACGAGCUCCGUAGGAGCGGAAAAUAUGUGCGUUGAGGACUGUAGGUGCAGCUUGGUAACCGCAUCUGUGAUGCUGCAAGAGCGAUAAGACGGCCGCAAAUGCGAGGGUUUUAAUGGUAAGUGAAAUCCACAGAAGCGGAUAUAUUUCCGCAUAAGCGGAAGCGCAUGUGCGCUUAUGGGAUCGCAGGUGCAGAAUCCCUGGGGCAAAAAGUAUUUAAGCUCCCCUUCACAGAUUUCAUGUUCCCGGCAUUUUUGGUCAAGUUGGAGCUCGGGGGGGUGACUUCAAGAGGGAAUUAAGUGUUUUCAGUGAGGUAAGCUACUUGGACCUUAUAUCUUGUGUUUAUGGAAAUUAUCACAUUGUUUAGUCAUGAUUUUUGUGGAAUAAUCAGGUGAGAAACUGGGAGAUUAGGACUUGAAAUUGGAGACUUUAAAUUGGAGAUUUAAGGGGCGAUUUGAGGUCUGAUUUUAAUAAUUUUGGUAUGUAUAGACUCGUGACAGAAUAAUGAUUCUAGCAUUGUGAUUUUUGUCGGAUUCCGAGACGUGGGCCCAGGGUCAGGUUUGGCCAAUUUCGGGAACUUUGAUUAAAUUUAAUAAUUUUCGCGCGGGCUUUGUUUCUUUUAGCAUGUAUUCGUGUUAUGAUUUCUGAUUUUGGAUAGAUUCGAGGCUAGUUGAGGCCGACGAGAGGCAAUCGAAUUGCGGAAUAGAUUUUCAUUUGUUUUGAGGUAUGUAACAAUUAUAAAUCUAGACUUAAGGGUAUGAAACCCAAGAAUUUCAUAUUAUUUCGAUAAAUGAGGUUGGGUGUGCACCCAUUGGGAUUGUGACUUGGUCUGUCCCGUGGCAACUGUAGAGUUGCAUAUUUUGAUACACUAUAUAUGAUAUCUAUGUGUCUUAGAAAUGAUUUUGUUAACUUGGCUUGAACGCUACGUUUGGGGCCUUGCGCCAUACUGUUUGGACCCAUAGGGGUAUUUUACUGAUUCUUAGUUAUGGUUUAUAUUUGUUUAUUGUUAAAUCUUGUUCACCACUCUAUUUUAAAAUUUAUAAGUGUGUUUUGGGCUGAAUUUUCCUGAGUUUGCACUGAGAUGCCCGUAUGGCUUGUGAGGCUGAUGAGUGAGUGAGGCUGAGGGUCGGAUUCUGAGGAUAGCUAUGUAUCAGGCUUCAUGCUGUUAUGUUUUAUGUAUAUUUAUCUCUCUCUCUCUCUCUCUAUAUAUAUAUAUAUAUAUAAUGUUGGUUGUUCUGUGUUCGGAGUGGUCAUGGAGUGAAAUGAGACACUUAGUCUCUUAUUUAGAAGCUUAAGUUGGAAAAAUCAACUGGAUGUUCAUUUAUGAGUAGAAGGUCUCGGAUAUGAAUUUUGAUUGUUCGGAUAGAUUUAUUAGCUGAUUUUAGAUUUAGGAGCAUAUUCAGAAUGUAUUUUAGAGGUCCGUGAUAGAUUUAGUCUUGAAUUGGCAAAAUUAGAAAUUUGGCGUUUUCUAGUCGAUAGAGGAAAUCCUGAUAUGGGGGUUGGACUAGAAUUAUAGCAAUUGGAGUAGGUCCAUUGUGUCAUUUGUGACGCGUGAGCAAAAUUUCAGGUCGUUCGAAUUAGGUUUGAUAGGUUGUUGUAUAGUUUAUGGAGUUCGAAAGUUUAGAAAUCCUUAGGCUUGAAUCCAAGGGUGAUUUGACAUUUUGAUAUUGUUUCGAGUGUUUCAAAGGUUGGAAUAAGUUUGAAUAGUGUUAUGUGACUUGUUCGUAUUUUUAGUUGAGGUUCCGGGGGCCUCGAAAUAAUUUCGAACAAAAGGAGCCCAUAUAGAGAGAGAGAGAAAGAGAGAGAGAGAUUGGGCUGCACGCCGCAGCGAUAUGUUGGAUCGAGUUGCACGCCCUAGCUAUAUAAUGUUUGGGCUGUAGGAGCCCCUUCGGAGUCUGCACACUCCCAGUGAGUGUAUUCGGCUGUAUAUUUAUGGAUCGGGCUGCACGCUACAGCGGUUACUAUGAGAUAUCUAUUGAGCGAGAGUGCUGAGUGUGAGUGUUGAUUGAUGAGAAUUGAGUCAUAAGUGACUGAGAGGCUUGUCCAAGGGGCUAUAUAUAAGAGUGAUACUUUGCUCGAGGAGCUUAUUUUAUAAAAUUACUAUUUCUACUCAUCUUUUAUACUGAGCAUCUAUUGAAAAUGUUGAACAAAUAUUUUAAACAACUUUCACCGAAACUGGUACUUUUACGAGACGUUCGGAAAUUGAAUUACUGAUUUUACUUUGUUAUUUCCAUUGAGAUUCUAUUUUUUGAGAUAUUUAUAUGAUAUUAAAUGCUUGUCACUGCACUUAGCCUUUAUUUAUAAUUGUUACUUACUGAGUUGGCGCACUCACGUAACUUCCUAUACCUUGUGUGUAGAUCCAGGUGUCAGGGCAUCCGAGUGAGAGCUGAUCUUUGUCUUCGGAGUAUUAUCCUGAGUUAGAAAGGUAGCUACAUGACGUCCGUAACCCUACCGUUCUCUUUCGUAUCUUGAGCAUUUUAUUUAUCAGACUCAUUUUGUAUUGAGUAGACACUAUCAGGUUGUAUUCUAGUGGCUCAUGUUUAGUGACACCGGGAUCGGGCAGUAUUUGAUGUUUUACAUAUUUUUUUCUGCUUGUUUUGAAAUGCUUAAAUGAAAGAUUUGCGAUAACAUCUGAUUAGUAAAUGAAUUAAGAAAAAGACAUGUUUGUGUUAAAAAUAUUAAAUCGGCUUGCCUAGUACUGCGAUAGGUUCCAUCACGACCGAGGUGGUUUAGAGCCAUGACAAAUAUUCUGUAUCUAGAGGUCAAACAUAGUGACCUCUAUGUUUUGGGGAUUUUUCCGAUGGGUUAUCCUUCAAUGUUCAAUUGCUCUAAACUCAAGUAAAAGUUUCAUUCACUUUCCCUCUAUUUAUUUCUGAUUUCACUCAAUCUUGCUGUCAUCAUCGAUCUUUUGUCACUUUCCACUUUUGUUUUGAAUUUUUGGAAUCCUAAGAUUCUUAUGGCACUAUAAAAAGGGGCUUUUAAUGUUCUCAUGUACCACAACCUCACACUGUAAAAAAAAAACAUGUACAUAAUCAUCUAAGAGCAAUUCUGGGAUCCAAAACAUAUGGUUUCUUAAUGUUUCCUUUUUUAGUUUUGAGUACUAUCGCUACUUCGAGCUUGAAGCUUUAGGAGUCUUAAACACCUGAGAGAGAUCCUUGUUUGGUUUGCUUUCCUCGAAAAGGUCAAUAUAUUCCUAACUUCUCUCUUUAAUUAUAUUAUCUGAAUAUUAUGAAUAUGCUGGUUGUCUUCUGCGAACUAUAGUUGUUUAUGAUGCUUAUAACUAGCAUGAAAAUGUUUAUUUUCUGUUUAUGAUAAUAUGUUGUCCUAUUAUGAUCACUUGCCCUGCCUCUUGAGUCUUUAAUUACUUGCCCUGCCUCUUGAGUCUUUAAGUAAUAAUUGAUCAAGUUAUUAUUGAUGAUCUUUCAUUCAAGUUGUGUUAUAUGUUAUUUGGCUUACCUAGCGGAUCGGGUUAGGUGCCACAUUGCUUGGUUGGAUUUUGGGUCGUCAUAUAUUAGAUUUUAAAACUAAUCAUAUAUAUGGACUCGGGGAUGAAUAUAUAACAAGAAAUUCCAUUCAAUUUCGAAUUCUAGAAAUGUGGAUCGAAUUCAGUUUUGGUUGAUUUUGAGAUUUCUUUGAAUAAUGAAAUUUUAUUAAUUAGGAAUGACUCAUAUAGUUUUGUUUGACCUCUUUGAAUAAUAUUUGGACAGGUUUUGGACUUUCGGAGGCGGAUGUCUAAGGGAAAGCGAUGCUCGAGAGUUAAUUCAGCUUGAAAGAGGUAAGUAUCCUGCUUAAUAUUGGUUUGAGGGGAAUAUACCCUAGGAAAUGACUUUUUAUGCUACUUGAUUGUCAUGCCCCAAACUCGAGGAGCACGAUCAACGCCCUACUGAAUGAACCUAGUUAAGAAAGCCUGUUGAACACUUACUACCAAAACUCGCACAUGUUUUAAAGAGAGUUCAUAACAUUAUUAACAAAUAAUGAGAUCAUGUAUACAAUACCAACUCGUUUCUGUCAGUUACACAUAUUUAAAGUCUCCAAAAUAUGCAUGUUUUCAUAGUUUUAGUAGAAUAGAUGAUUCAAACACAACAUAGCACGUUUGAAUUUCCCUAGCUACCAUAUACAAAUAAUCCACACUAUGUCUAUGGAACCUCAAACUAGAUGCAAAAGAAUACUACAAAAGUGCCGGCAACAAGGCUCCAGCUAUACCUCAAGUGCAAUAUACAAGGAACAAAAGAUGCAUGACCCCGAAAUUAUGUGGGGCUCACCAUGACUGCUGGGAUAAGGAUGUACUACUAGCGCUGAUCAACACUGCCUGCUGGGGAACCACCUGCAUCCAUUUAUGACGCAACACCCCCGGCAAAAGGGACGUUAGUACCGUCGAAUGGUACUAGUAUGUAUAGCUAAACACCAUCUCAUUAGAAUGAAAAAUAAUACAAGAAGGAACAAUCAUGAAAUCAAUAGAAGCCUUAACGAUACCAUAACUUCAAGUUAAGGAUCACAUAGGUUUUCACGUAAUUUCAAUGAUUUUAGGUUGAGAGGUCUUUAGUGCCAAUUAUGCCACAAUCCACAAUACCACCAUGUUCUUACACGGAGUCCGAUCUCAACCCGAUCGUCUAGGUCAUCUCAUUUGAGACAUCAACCAUAUCCACAAUUUCAAUUAUUAUUUCCAUCACAGUUACAAUCAUGUGUACGUCAUGGUGUCCGAUCACGGCCUGAUGACUAGGCCAUAUCUCUCGAGAUAUCAUCCUUUCAAUUAAUCAUCUCACUUCAUAUUUCAUUCACAUCUUUUUAAUACAUUGACACGAGUGGCCUAAUUUAUAAAGUCAUUCUUGGCAAUUGCCGGCAUUUCGUAAUUCAAGUCCUCUUUUCACAUUCCAACAUUAUUAUCAUCACCAACAACAACAAGGAUUUUUCAUUCAAGACUUUGAUUGCAUAUGUGAGAAACUUAGAAUCCAAGGCACAUAGAGAAUUUUCACACAAUAUGUCAUAGCAAUCUUUAUUCAAAUUUGACUUGAAGUCCAGGCAAUUUUUAUCACAUAUUCCAUAUUUUGAGCACAUCCUCAACUGAUAAGAUAACAUGAAAGCAUAGGAACACAUAUUGCACAUAUACUUUUCAAAGCAAGCACAUUCAGAAUAUCAAUUUCUAUAACAAUCAAUUUGAGACUUACAUGGAUUGCAUGAAUACCAUGAGAUUCAAUUCUAAGAAGAGGGGGUUUUAUCCAUACAUACCUUAAUAGAGCUUCCUUAAAUUCUACUAUAUUUCGGAACUCUUCAAUCUAUUUUAAAAAUAUAACAAGUUGAACCCAAAAUUAGAAAGAUGAUCAUGAUUCUAGCUCAUUUGAGCACAUUAUCAAACACUAGGUGUGCAUUAUGUUUUAAGACCCUUUUG
rnacentral:lncRNA from 1 species